rnacentral:piRNA from 1 species
UUUGUAACAUUGGAUAACAUUUAAAAACAAA